ACAAACAACCGAACAGGCCGAACAUUCCCUUAUGCCAGUAAAAGCCCUGCCCGGCCCAAAUGAAAGAAACUAAACGAGACGGUUGGUGGAGUUGAAAAUGGAACUGGAACUGGAAAACAGACUAUCGCUCUUCCAUCGUUUUCCGAUCAUCUCAGACGGUUGGUGGUGUUGAAAAUGGCGAGCUCUCUGCGUCGAAGCCUGAGCUUAGCAAACCCUCAUCUCUAUUCUCUUCUCUCAUCAACGAGGUCGUUCUCGUCUUCGUCGUCGGACGCCUUGGUCGAAACCAAGCCCGGUGAGGUCGGAAUCGUCUCCGGCAUUCCCCAAGAACACCUCCGUAGAAGGGUUGUGAUUUAUUCACCCGCUCGUACUGCAACACAACAAGGCUCUGGAAAAGUUGGGAGGUGGAAAAUCAACUUUUUGUCUACACAGAAGUGGGAGAAUCCAUUGAUGGGUUGGACAUCUACUGGAGACCCAUAUGCUAAUGUUGGCGAUGCCGGACUCAGUUUUGACAGUGAAGAAGCAGCUAAGGCAUUUGCUGAAAAACACGGCUGGGAAUAUGUGGUCAAGAAGCGCCACACCCCCCUUUUGAAGGUAAAAGCAUAUGCAGACAAGCCCAGCAAAAGACUGAGGAAAACUGAAUCGUAAUUUUGCAAAAACUCUCUCCCCCAUUCUCAAAAUGCUUUUGAGGAUGCAAUUUAAUAAUAUAAGAAUGCUACACACUCCUACUUGUCUGCAAAUAAUCUUAAUCAACUCUUUCUAGAAUAAAUAUUAAGUGAAAUGGUUAUGUUUUUAUAGUAAGUGAAAAAGUUAUAUUUCUAGAAUAUAUUUAGUGUCAUUAGUCAAUUGAUUUUUUUUUUUUUUUUUUAAUAUUCUUCAUCUUUCACUAUUCAACAUAUAAUAUCAUGAUUAUAAUAUUUACUCUCUUUGUGAAAAAGAAAGUUAUUUUAAAGGAAUCUGUAAACACCAUCUUUAGGUGUCACCACUUUAUUUUUGUAAUAUUGAUUUACACAAUUCAAUAUAUGAUCUAACGUUACUCUUGUUUUUCACUCAAGCCUAAGGCCUUGUUUGGUAUAUACUAAGGAGUUGUUUGGGAUGACCUAAAUAAGUAUACUUUUUGUCUUUUUACGAAA